rnacentral:rRNA from 1 species
UUGACGGGGCCCCGCACAAGCAGCGGAGCGUGUGGUUUAAUUCGAUGCUACACGAAGAACCUUACCAGGGUUUGACAUGCAAGUGGUAGGAAGCCGAAAGGUGACCGACCCUUCGGGGAGCUUGCACAGGUGCUGCAUGGCUGUCGUCAGCUCGUGUCGUGAGAUGUUCGGUUAAGUCCGCUAACGAGCGCAACCCUCGCUGUGUGUUAUAUGUGUCACACGGGACUGCCGGUCUUAAGCCGGAGGAAGGUGGGGAUGAUGUCAAGUCAGCAUGGCCUUUAUAUCCUGGGCUACACACACGCUACAAUGGCCAACACAAUAGGUUGCUAAGCCGCGAGGUGGCGCCAAUCCAUAAAGUUGGUCUCAGUUCAGAUUGUAGGCUGCAACCCGCCUGCAUGAAGAUGGAGUUGCUAGUAACCGCAGGUCAGCUAUACUGCGGUGAAUACGUUCCCGGGGCUU